rnacentral:rRNA from 1 species
CCCUUAGACGUUCUGGGCCGCACGCGCGCUACACUGACCAGUGCAACAAGCAUCCGUCCUUGGCCGACAGGCCCGGGCAAUCUUUGAACGCUGGUCGUGAUGGGGAUAGACUUUUGCAAUUUUUGGUCUUCAACGAGGAAUUCCUAGUAAACGCAAGUCAUCAACUUGCACUGAUUACGUCCCUGCCCUUUGUACACACCGCCCGUCGCACCUACCGAUUGAAUGGUCCGGUGAAGCCUCCGGAUUGGCGCGCACCUCGGUGCCGCCGAGAAGUUGGCUAAACCUUACCAUUUAGAGGAAGGUGAAGUCGUAACA